rnacentral:misc_RNA from 1 species
AUCUCGUCCAUUUCCCUUACCAUCUGCAUAUCAAGUUUAAAGUUCAAACAGUUCAGUGCAAAAAUUAAGAUAUCUAUUUAUGACAUUUUUUUUAAUUUAUGAUAUGUUUCAGCACUUGAGAUAUAGUAGCAGAGACAUCAGAAAAAGCAUUCAAAUGACAGAAGUAGGUCCAUAAAAAAUGCCAGUCCCAGUGUUGAUACAUUCAAAGGGACUAGAUAAGAGAAUAAAAGAAAAUUCAUAGUAGAAAAUAAUUCACAUGCAGUAAAAAAGUAGUUACUAGUUAUAGACAACAAACAUGUCCAAAGAAAGCCAACAAUCAUUAGCUCAUGGAUUGACUUACGUGAUGAAAUAUAUAGCACAAGCAUUCUGGAAUGAAUCUAAUGUUUGAGGCUUCCCCCCAUAUCAGAAAGUACAGUGAAAGGAAGAGCAAUUUCUUUUCCUUGCUAACAGACUCCAAACUGCAGGACACCAUUUAGAUACAGUAGUUUUCAAUCAUCAUCAGUCGUGAAGUAAGAAA